rnacentral:rRNA from 1 species
AUUGAACGCUGGCGGCAGGCCUAACACAUGCAAGUCGAGCGAGCGGCGGACGGGUGAGUAAUGUAUGGGGAUCUGCCCGAUAGAGGGGGAUAACUACUGGAAACGGUGGCUAAUACCGCAUAAUAUCGGAUGAACCCAUAUGGGAUUAGCUGGUAGGUGGGGGAAAGGCGCACCAAGGCGACGAUCCCUAGCUGGUCGGAGAGGAUGAGCAGCCACACUGGGACUGAGACACGGCCCAGACUCCUACGGGAGGCAGCAGUGGGGAAUAUUGCACAAGGGGCGCAAGCCUGAUGCAGCCAUGCGGCGUGUAUGAAGAAGGCCUGAGGGUGGUAAAGUACUUUCAGCGGGGAGGCGUUACCCGAAGAAGAAGCACCGGCUAACUCCGUGCCAGCAGCCGCGGUAAUUC